rnacentral:rRNA from 1 species
ACGAACGCUGGCGGCGUGCUUAACACAUGCACGUCGAACGAAAAUACCAAGCUUGCUUGGUUGAUUAGUGGCGAACGGGUGAGUAACACGUGAGUAACCUGCCCCUUACUUUCCUGGAUAACUGCUCGAAAGGGUAGCUAAUACGGGAUAUUCUGACCAGCCUGCAUGGGGUGGUUUGGAAAGGUUGUUUUUCUGGUAAGGGAUGGGCUCGCGGCCUAUCAGCUUGUUGGUGGGGUGAUGGCCUACCAAGGCUUUGACGGGUAGCCGGCCUGAGAGGGUGGACGGUCACACUGGGACUGAGAUACGGACCAGACUCCUACGGGAGGCAGCAGUGGGGAAUAUUGCACAAUGGGCGCAAGCCUGAUGCAGCGACGCCGCGUGAGGGAGGAAGGCCUUCGGGUUGUAAACCUCUUUCGUCAGGGAACAAGGCACUGCUUUUUUGGUGGUGUUGAGGGUACCUGGAUAAGAAGCGCCGGCUAACUACGUG